AGCCUUCUCUUCUGAGAUGUUCUCCAAGCCUUAGGCAUUAUCCACUGGGGCUGGGUACCCCACAGAAAAAGAACUGUGGAUAACAGCCCAAGAUGGUAUUUUGAAGUGAGUAGACACCUGGAGAAUACAGUCUUCCUGCUACCGGGGUGAUGGAUAAACAUCUUCAAUCAAGACAUCCUGAGGAUCCUAUGGGUUUAGAUGAAGGAGACUCUCUGGUUGUGUUUGUUUGGAAGGCGACCUCGGUAAGCAUGGAGCUAGAUGUCAACUGACGAGACGCUUCUGAGAGGGACUCAAAACUGCCGACCUUGGGAAUUUGCUUGAGAGGAGAGAAAUUCUUGGCCACAGAGAGAGUGCUGAGAAGACAGGGGAGUGAAAAGAAUGUGUCAACAGAGUGAGCCAAGCCUGGGGGACAUGGCAGAGCACCACAAGAAACCAUUGCUCGGCAAAGGACUCCUCAGAUGAGAGCGUACAAAAUAUGAUCAUCCCUCAUCACCAGGGGUAGCCCUAGGAUCCUUGCCCAGGGUACCACAAUCUUAGAGUGCUCAAGUCCCUUAUAUAAACAGCAAAAUGAAUUAGG
ensembl:lincRNA 1700025M24Rik RIKEN cDNA 1700025M24 gene